AGGCUAUACAAUCUUUAGUACUCAAAUGAAAGGAAAUGAACAUAUUGUUUUAAGACUAAUCAACAUCCAAUGUUAGAAAGUGACAUUGUCCUCGAAGUAGUGAGGACCUACCCCAUUUGGAGAAUGAGUGUGACUAUCUGUAUUAUGUAUAUGCUAGUUCUAUUCAUGUCAUACUUGACAUAGAAUUAUAGUAUAGGUGAAGGAUCAUGUUUACUAUAUGGUUAAUGUUGGUUUAAACUAGCUUGGAAGCUCAUGUAACGCCUUCCACGUUUCAGCAGGUGUAAUGCAAGUUAACUCUGACAAAAAGUAUUUAAGUAGAUAUAUUAAGGUUGUAAUUGAGCUUAAAGUUAAAAGUUAAGCGCUAAGUUGAAGAACAAGGGAUUAACAUUCAGAAAUUGAAAUAAAAUAAUUGAGCUGCUUGCUUGGCUUAAUUUAAGCUAGCAGCUGCAUCACCUACUUAAGCUAUAAUAUAGUUAAAGGGCCAAGUUUGAUUGAUUAGAUUUUAGGCUUAUAUUAAUGGGCUGUCACUUGAAAUCCCACCCCUAUUAAAUGAAAAUAAAAUUUGAAAAAAAUCCCAACAGCCAAAUCUUCCAAGGCCCAAUAUGGAUAAAGCCAAAGCGAAAGCAACUAGGUGCAUCACCUAGUUUGACCUUUCGAGUUGCUUGAUGUGCACAAGAAGGUGCAUCACCUACUUGACCAGUUAGUGGCUAAAAAUAGACCCCCAAAAAAGGAGGUUCUAGAGGAUUAUUUUGUGGUCAAUAAAGCUCUAUAUAUAUCCAAUAUGAGCAGAUAUUCUUCACCCAUUUUAACCAUUAAAAGUAAAAUUUAACUCCAGCUCUCUCUCUCUCUCUUUUCUCUCAAGGAUUAAACCAGCAACCUUAAAAUUUUCUAUGGUUCUUGAAGAAACCCUCAUAUCUGCAAACCAAAGUAAGUGAAAAAUAAUGGAUUUAGCUUAAUUUUCCCAUGGAUGAUUAGGAAAACAUGUUAGCCAUACUCUAAUAUAACUACAUAGGCAGAAUAUUUCCAGCAGCUACUGCUCACUUCCUUAGUUAUUAAAAUACGUUUCUUUCUUCUGUGGUUCAAGUGUGAAGGGAAGCUGAAGUUCAAAAAGAAUUCAAGUUAUAAGGAGAAGUUGCAGAAAUUGAGUUAAGGUGACUGCUCCAUUUUUGUCUUCCUUAUGUAUGAGUUUGAGUGAGGAAUUAGUGGUGUGCUUUAAUGAAGAACUCAAGGGGGUGGUGAGUUCAAUACUUGGUUGUAUGAUAAAGAAUAUUUGGGGCUGUUCUAUGUAUAUUACUGUUGGCGCAGCUUGGUUAAUCUUGAAAAAAGGAUGUAUAAUGUAUGUGAUGGACAGAGAAUGAGGGUGUGGUGAUAUACAUUAUGUUAAGGGCUGUAUGGGCUCAUUAUCAGUCAAAGUUAGCUACUGUUUAACAAUGCUCACAGUGUGAUAGCUGCUAAUUUUAGUUUACCAUGACUUAAAUUGUAGAUUAAAACCAAAAAGGGGAGGCUGAUCGUGAUAGUAUAUCAGUUCGAGGAUAAGUAUGUAAGGCUAUUCGAUUCUAUAUCCCUUUGUCAUGAAAUUUGACACCUGCAAUUAAUAUCAAUGAAGUGAAUCUCAUAAGUUCUAUUCCUAGAAAAGGAAACAUAGUGGUAGCGUACUAUCCCCAAAUAGCUAACAAUAUUUCCCCAUCACCGUAGUGCAUAAAACUACUUCAUUAUCUGUUCAAUAUUUUAUACUUGUGUAAUUAUCCCCCAUGUGCUGGUAUAGAAAUGGUAAUUGUAAAAUCUAGUAUGUGAAUCCUCCUCUUUGUUGUAAUUGUGUCAUUAAUCCCUUAAAGUAAUGCGUUGAUGUUACAUAGUUUCUUAUGUCAUUGUUAUUUCCUUGAAAUAUUAUUUUCAUGUCUUCUAUUACUAGUCAAUACUUCCAUAUCUCCAAAAUGAUUAUGACCACCAAAAUAACAUCUCAAAAGAGUUAUGAACUGAUAAACAACAAUCUCAAAUAUUAAAGAAUCUAAGUGAAGAAAUCAAUAUAAUAACAGGUGGCAGCCUAGGGGCGAAAGCCUAGCAUGGGUCGAUCCCAACUGGUACAUAAGGGUGGCAGCUACGGGGCGAAAGCCUAGCAUGGGCCGAUCCCUAUUGGUAUCGAAGGGAGGCAGCGCAGGGGCGAAAGCCUAGCAUGGGCGGAUCCCUAUUGGUAUAGAAGCGUGGUAGAUCAAGGGCGAAAUCCUAGCAUGGGUCGAUCCCAAGUGGUGUAAUUAUGAGGACCGCAUCCCAGGGUUAAUACGUCUCGCAUGGGUCAUCCUCUUCUACCACAGAUCAGGUGGUCACUUGUAUCACAUGCCCUACAAAGAUUAUAACAUACAGAAAAGUAAAGAAAAGAAUGUAACUUACUUGAUCCCACAAGAGUAAGCCAAGGUGCUCAUCUCUCCUAACCUAUGCACUCAUAUGUUUUAAGGGCGGAAGGAUGUGACGGUCUGCAUUAUGUAUAUGCUAGUUCUAUUCAUGUGAUACUUGACAUAGACUUAUAGUGUAUGUGAGGGAUACCAGGGGCGGAUCACAUGGUGUCCGCCGGCUGCUCGAGCACCCAUUAAUUUCGUUACGAAAUAUAUAUAUCUAUGUAUAGGUAUUUGUAUAAAAUUAACAUAGAGCACCCAAUGAAUAAAUCAUAUAGUUGGCCCAAUGGUUCUAGGAUGGGUACUUAAGACUCUUUUAGUGUUGUUGUACCAAGGUUCGAAUCUCAUUGUUAACACAUAUUAUUUACAGUUUCACUUCAGAGCACCCACAACCUUAAAAUCCUAGAUCCGCCAUUGAGGGAUACUGUUUCUUAUAUGGUUAGUGUUGGUUUAAACUAGCUCGGAAGGUGAUGUAACGCCUUGCACGUUUCAGCAUGUGUAUUGCAAGUUAACUCUGACGAAAAGUAUUUAAGUAGAUAUAGUAAGGUGGUAAUUGAGCUUAAAGUUAAAAGUUAAGUGCUAAGUUGAAGAACAAGGGGUUAACAUUCAGAAAUUGAAAUAAUAUAAUUAAGCUGCUUGCUUGGCUUAAUUUAAGCUAGCAUCAGCAUCACCUACUUAAGCUAUAUAGAUAAAGGGCCAAGUUUGAUGGACUAGAUUUAGGCUUAUAUUAAUGUGCUGUCACUUGAAGCUCAAACCUAUAAAAUGAAAAUAAAAUUUGAAAGAAAUCCCAGCAGCCAAAUCUGCCACGGCCCAAUAUGGAUAAAGCCAAGCGAAAGCAACUAGGUGCAUCACCUAGUUUGACCUUUUGAGCUGCUUGAUGUGCACAAGCAAGUGCAUCAACUUACUUGACCAAUUAGUGGCUAAAAAUGGACCCAGAAAAAGGAGGUUCUAGAGGAUAUUUUUGUGGUCAAUAAAACUCUAUAUAUAUCCAAUAUGAGCAGAUAUUCUUCACCCAUUUUAACACAUAAAAAUAAAAUUUAACUCCAGCUCUCUCUCUCUCUUUUCUGUCAAGGAUUAAAACAACAACCUUAAAGUUUUCUAGGGUUCUUGAAGAAACCCUUAUAUCUUCAAACCAAGUGUGAAGGGAAGCUGAAGUUCAAAAAGAAUUCAAGUUAUAAGGAGAAGUUGCAGAAAUUGAGUUAAGGUGACUGCUCCAUUUUUGUCUUCCUUAUGUAUGAGUUUGAGUGAGGAAUUAGUGGUGUGCUUUAAUGAAGAACUCAAGGGGGUGGUGAGUUCAAUACUUGGUUGUAUGAUAAAGAAUAUUUGGGGCUGUUCUAUGUAUAUUACUGUUGGCGCAGCUUGGUUGAUCUUGGGAAAAGGAUGUAUAAUGUAUGUGAUUGACGGAGAAUGAGGGUGUGGUGAUACACAUUAUGUUGAGGGCUGUAUGGUCUCAUUAUCAGUCAAAGUUAGCUACUGUUUUACAAGGCUCACGAUGUGAUAACUGCUAAUUUUAGUUUACCAUAACUUAAAUUGUAGAUUAAAACCAAAAAGGGGAGACUGAAUCGUGAUAGUAUAUCAGUCCGAGGAUAAGGUAUGUAAGGCUAUUCGAUUCUAUAUCCCUUCGGCAUGAAAUGUAAGGCUAUUCGAUUCUAUAUCCCUUUGUCAUGAAAUCUGACACCUGCCAUUAAUAUUAAUGAAGUGAAUCUCAUAAGUUUCUAUUCCUAACAAAGAAAACAUAGUGGCAGCGUACUAUCUCCAAAUAGCUAACAAUAUUUCCCCCUCUCUGCAUAGAACUACUUCUUUAUUUGUUAACUAUUUUGUACUUGUGUAAUUAUCCCCCAUGUGCUGAUAUAGAAAUGAUAAUUGCAAAAGCAAGUCUGUGAAUCCUCCUCUUUGUUGUCUGAAGUCAGUUGUGUCAUUAAUCUCUUAAAGUAAUGUGUUGAUGUUACAUAACUCCUUAUGUCACUGUUAUUUUCUUGAAGUAUUAUUUUAAUGUCUUCUAUUACUGGUCCAUACUUCCAUAUCUCCAAAAUGAUUAUGACCACCAAAAUAACAUCUCAAAAGUGUUAUGAACUUAUAAACAAAAAUCUCACAGAUUAAAGAAUCUAAGUGAAGAAUUCUAUAUAAUUACGGGUUGCAGCCCAGGGGCGAAAGCCGAGGGUGGGUUGAUCCCAACUGGUACAUAAGGUCGGCAACUCAGGGGCGAAAGCAUAGCAUGGGUCGAUCCCUAUUGGUAUAGAAGGGUGGCAGCUCAGGGGCGAAAGCCUAGCAUGGGCCCAAGUAGUAUAGUUCUUAGGAUCGCAUCCCAGGGGUUAUAAGCCUAGCGUGGAUCAUCCUCUUCUACCACUGGUCAGCUGGUCACUUGUAUCACAUGUCUUAUAAAGAUUAUGACAUACAGAAAAGUAAAGAAAACAAUGUAACUUACUUGUUCCCACAAGAGUAAGCAAAGGUGGUCUUCUCUCCUAAUCUAUGCACUCAUUCAUAUGUUGCUAUUUGAUUUCAUUUGAGCUCUCGUAUUACAUAUGCUAUUGCCUUUCAUAUUCAGUACAUUUUUAGUAUUGACGUCCCUUGCGGGGACGCUGCAUUUCAUGCUGCAGGCAUAGGUACUCCAGCUAGUAGACCUCCUCAGUAGGAGCACACCAAACUCUGCUACUUUUGGGAGAGCUCCAAGUUGAUUAUGAGCUUUAUUGAGUCUUUGGUAAAUUCAUUUUGGUAUUGUAUCGUAGUUAAGGGUAAGGCGAGGUCUGUCCCGACCUACUCUAGUCUUCUAUCUUUUAGAGGCUUUGUAUACGUUGUACAUGGUUCAGUUGUGUCUUAAGGAGUUGUGGCCUCAACGGCCAAGUCUUGUAUAUAACUUUUGGACCUAGUUAUGUUGUUUCAUAUCGCUGCAUCCUAGGUGAACUUGCCACAAUUGUUAUAGUUAUAUGCACAGUAAGAACAGGUUGUAGGUUGGUUCUCUCGGGCCUUUUGGGCAUCGAGUGCCUGUCCGUCUUACUGGGUAUUGAGGCGUGACAAAAAGUGGUAUCAGAGCAGGUCAUCCUAGGGAGUCUACAAAGCCGUGUCUGUGUAGAGUCUUGCUUAUGGAUGUGCUGUCCAGAACAUCUUUAAACAGGAGGCUACGGGACAUGUAGGAGUUGUCUCAUUUCUUUCAUUUCUUAGAUCGUACGAUAGAACCAGUGUUGUAGGUGAAUCAUAUCUAAUUUCUCAAUUGUUUUAUCAUAGCAAAAAAGAUGCCGGUUACGAGAAGGAUUCAAUGUUCUGGUAAACAAGUAGAUGUGGCUGCCCCAGAAGGGACCAACAACCACCACCAAGUAAAGCUAUUCAAAGUGGGGCUCAAGAUGAACUAAGGAGGGAAGAUGAACCUCAGGAACCCUUUAUCAAUGCUACAGAGCAAGAUUUGAGAAAUGCAGUCAAAUUAUUGACUCGUAUAGUUGCUGGUCAAGGCUAAAGGCAAGAAGGUCCAGUUGCAGGUACUAGUGGCGUAGAUAGAUCAGCUGGAACACGGAUACGUGAUUUUCUUAACUUUGACCCUCCAUCAUUUACCGGGUCAGACCCUAAUGAAGAUCCGCAAUACCUUAUAGAUCAAAUCAAACGCACUUUGAAUAUUAUGCAUCUAAGUGGUAAAGAAGCACUUGAGCUAGCUGCAUACAGAUUAAAGGGUGUGGCUAUAUUGUGGUAUGAAGCUUGGAAGCAAUCUAGAGGAACAAAUGCACCUUCAUCUAUGUGGAAAGAGUUCAAAAAGGCAUUCCUUGAUCAUUAUCUGCCAUGGAGAGAUGAGAGGCUCGUGCGGAUCAGUUCUUAAAUCUCCACCAAGGAAAUAUGAGUGUGAGAGAGUAUAGUCUCAAAUUUAAUUCCUUUGCCAGGUAUGCUCCUAGUGUAGUAGGUACUAUUGAGGAUAGAGUUUAUCAAUUUGUGUAUAUAUUAAAUUCAUAUCUGGUUAGAGACUGUACAAUUGCUUCAUUGAAUAAAGAUAUGGAUAUAGCAAGGAUGCAGGCCUCGGUUCUCUAACAGACCACCUAGGACGUCAUCUUUCUACUCUACAUCUUUCUACUCUACAGCUAGGGGCAAUGGGUUUGGGCAAAGAAGUGAAAUCCAAGGCUCACAAAUAGCGAGUCAUCAAGAGCAGGGAAGUACGAGCCAAUCAAGCCCUCCACGACAGCCUUGUAAACAGUGUGGGAGGAAUCAUCUAGGUUCAUUCAGGUUUGGGACGGAUGUUUGUUUUUGUUGUGGCACACCAGGGCAUAUGAUGAGAAACUGCCCUCAUAGGGGAGCGGGUGGCGUUGCACAACCAACUAGAUCAGUUGUUGUGUCGACCUCAUCAACCCCUUAUUUAGGUAGGGUACUACAUAUGCCUACACGUCGUGGUAGAGGAGCUAGGGGAGCAGCUAGUUCUAGUGGAGGUCAGAAUCACACAUAUGCACUAGGGGAUCGACAAAAUUCAGAAGCCUCGCCAAAUGUGGUUACAGGAACAGGUACUCCAGCUAGUAGACCUCCUCAGUAGGAGAACACGAAACUCUACUACUUUUGGGUGAGCUCCAAGUUGAUUCAGAGCUUUAUUCAGUCUUGCAUAAAUUCAUUUUGGUAUUGUAUCAUAGUUAAGGG